GCUGAGUGUGGUGGUGUGCACCCGUAAUCCCAGCUACUCGGGAGGCUGAGGUGGGAGGAUUGCUUGAGCCUGGGAGGUCCAGGUUGCAGUGAGCCAUGAUUGUGCCACUGCACUCUAGCCUGGGUGUCAGAGCAAUAUCCUGUCUCAA
rnacentral:SRP_RNA from 2 species